GUCCCGUUAGCUCAGCAGGAUAGAGCACCGGUUUCCUAAACCGGGGGUCAGAGGUUCGAGUCCUCUACGGGACGCCA
rnacentral:tRNA from 2 species